rnacentral:rRNA from 2 species
UAUCAAUAAGCGGAGGAAAAGAAACUAACAAGGAUUCCCCUAGUAACUGCGAGUGAAGCGGGAAGAGCUCAAAUUUAAAAUCUGGCGGUCUUGGGCCGUCCGAGUUGUAGUCUGGAGAAGUGCUUUCCGCGCUGGACCAUGUACAAGUCUCUUGGAACAGAGCGUCAUAGAGGGUGAGAAUCCCGUCUUUGACAUGGACUGCCAGUGCUUUGUGAUGCGCUCUCAAAGAGUCGAGUUGUUUGGGAAUGCAGCUCAAAAUGGGUGGUAAAUUCCAUCUAAAGCUAAAUAUUGGCGAGAGACCGAUAGCGAACAAGUACCGUGAGGGAAAGAUGAAAAGCACUUUGGAAAGAGAGUUAAACAGUACGUGAAAUUGCUGAAAGGGAAACGCUUGAAGUCAGUCGCGUUGUUUGGAACUCAGCCUUGCUUACCGCUUGGUGCACUUUCUGAAUGACGGGCCAGCAUCGAUUUUGACCGCUGGAAAAGGGCCAGGGGAAGGUGGCACCUUCGGGUGUGUUAUAGCCUCUGGUCGCAUACAGCGGUUGGGAUCGAGGAAUGCAGCGCGCCGCAAGGCAGGGGUUCGCCCACUUCCGCGCUUAGGAUGCUGGCGUAAUGGCUUUAAACGACCCGUCUUGAAACACGGACCAAGGAGUCUAACAUGCCUGCGAGUGUUUGGGUGGAAAACCCGAGCGCGUAAUGAAAGUGAAAGUUGAGACCUCUGUCGUGGAGGGCAUCGACGCCCGGACCUGAAGUUUUCUGACGGAUCCGCGGUAGAGCAUGUAUGUUGGGACCCGAAAGAUGGUGAACUAUGCCUGAAUAGGGUGAAGCCAGAGGAAACUCUGGUGGAGGCUCGUAGCGAUUCUGACGUGCAAAUCGAUCGUCAAAUUUGGGUAUAGGGGCGAAAGACUAAUCGAACCAUCUAGUAGCUGGUUCCUGC